rnacentral:rRNA from 1 species
UACGUAGGGGGCGAGCGUUGUCCGGAUUCAUUGGGCGUAAAGCGCUCGUAGGCGGCUUGGCAAGUCGGAUGUGAAAACUCCAGGCUCAACCUGGAGCCGCCAUUCGAUACUGCUAUGGCUAGAGUCCGGUAGGGGAGUGUGGAAUUCCCGGUGUAGCGGUGAAAUGCGCAGAUAUCGGGAGGAACACCGAUGGCGAAGGCAGCACUCUGGGCCGGCACUGACGCUGAGGAGCGAAAGCGUGGGGAGCGAACAGG